rnacentral:tRNA from 1 species
GCCUGGGUGGCUUAGUCGGUUAAGCUUCUGACUUUGGCUCAGGUCGUGAUCUUGGGGUUCAUGAGUUCCAGUCUCACAUUGGGCU